rnacentral:rRNA from 1 species
GAUGAACGCUGGCGGCGGGCCUAAUACAUGCAAGUCGAGCGGAGCGGGGACGGGUGAGUAACACGUGGAUAACCUCCUAUAAGACGGGGAAAACUUCGGGAAAGCGGAGCUAACCCGGAAACUUAUAGAUGGAGACGCGCUGGAUUAGCUAGUUGGUAAGGUAACGGCUUACCAAGGCAACGAUGCAUAGCUGACCGGAGAGGGUGAUCAGCCACACUGGAACUGAGACACGGUCCAGACUCCUACGGGAGGCAGCAGUAGGGAAUCUUCCGCAAUGGGCGAAAGCCUGACAGAGCAAUGCCGCGUGAGUGAUGAAGGUCUUCGGAUCGUAAAGCUCUGUUAUUAGGGAAGCGGUACCCGAUCAGAAAGCCCCGGCUAACUACGUGCCAGCCGCCGCGGUAAUUC